rnacentral:rRNA from 1 species
AUUGAACGCUGGCGGCGUGCUUAACACAUGCAAGUCGUGCGGUAACAGGCGUAGCAAUACGUGCUGACGAGCGGCGAACGGGUGCGUAAUACAUGGGAAUCUGCCUUUUAGUGGGGAAUAACCCGGCGAAAGCCGGGCUAAUGCCGCAUAAGAUCUUCGGAUGAAAGCGGGGGAUCGUAAGACCUCGCGCUGAUAGAUGAGCCCAUGCCGGAUUAGCUAGUGGUGAGGUAACGGCUCACCAAGGCGACGAUCCGUAGCUGGUCUGAGAGGACGGCCAGCCACACUGGGACUGAGACACGGCCCAGACUCCUACGGGAGGCAGCAGUGGGGAAUAUUGGACAAGUGGGGAAGCCCUGAUCCAGCGACGCCGCGUGUGUGAAGAAGGCCUGCGGGUUGUAAA